GCCGUGAUCGUCUAGUGGUUAGGACAUUGCGUUGUGCACGCAAUAACCCAGGUUCGAAACCUGGUCUCGGCA
rnacentral:tRNA from 1 species